rnacentral:rRNA from 1 species
CAGGUUUACCUGUGUGACUGCGUACCUUUUGUAUAAUGGGUCAGCGACUUAUAUUCUGUAGCAAGGUUAACCGAAUAGGGGAGCCGGAGGGAAACCGAGUCUUAAUUGGGCGUUAAGUUGCAGGGUAUAGACCCGAAACCCGGUGAUCUAGCCAUGGGCAGGUUGAAGGUUGGGUAACACUAACUGGAGGACCGAACCGACUAAUGUUGAAAAAUUAGCGGAUGACCUGUGGCUGGGGGUGAAAGGCCAAUCAAACCGGGAGAUAGCUGGUUCUCCCCGAAAGCUAUUUAGGUAGCGCCUCGUGAAUUCAUCUCCGGGGGUAGAGCACUGUUUCGGCUAGGGGGCCAUCCCGGCUUACCAACCCGAUGCAAACUGCGAAUACCGGAGAAUGUUAUCACGGGAGACACACGGCGGGUGCUAACGUCCGUCGUGAAGAGGGAAACAACCCAGACCGCCAGCUAAGGUCCCAAAGUCAUGGUUAAGUGGGAAACGAUGUGGGAAGGCCCAGACAGCCAGGAUGUUGGCUUAGAAGCAGCCAUCAUUUAAAGAAAGCGUAAUAGCUCACUGGUCGAGUCGGCCUGCGCGGAAGAUGUAACGGGGCUAAACCAUGCACCGAAGCUGCGGCAGCGAACGUAUCACCCAAGACAACUUUACGGAGUUGACGAUUGACGGAGCGAAGCGACGUCAAAGCGUUCAUUAAAGUCGAGUUGGCUUAGGGAUACGUUCGUUGGGUAGGGGAGCGUUCUGUAAGCCUGUGAAGGUGUGUCGUGAGGCAUGCUGGAGGUAUCAGAAGUGCGAAUGCUGACAUAAGUAACGAUAAAGCGGGUGAAAAGCCCGCUCGCCGGAAGACCAAGGGUUCCUGUCCAACGUUAAUCGGGGCAGGGUGAGUCGACCCCUAAGGCGAGGCCGAAAGGCGUAGUCGAUGGGAAACGGGUUAAUAUUCCCGUACUUGGUGUUACUGCGAAGGGGGGACGGAGAAGGCUAUGUUGGCCGGGCGACGGUUGUCCCGGUUUAAGCGUGUAGGUGUGUGUUCCAGGUAAAUCCGGUUCACUUUAACACUGAGGCGUGACGACGAGGCACUACGGUGCUGAAGCAACAAAUGCCCUGCUUCCAGGAAAAGCCUCUAAGCAUCAGGUAACAUCAAAUCGUACCCCAAACCGACACAGGUGGUCAGGUAGAGAAUACCAAGGCGCUUGAGAGAACUCGGGUGAAGGAACUAGGCAAAAUGGUGCCGUAACUUCGGGAGAAGGCACGCUGACACGUAGGUGAAGUGAUUUACUCAUGGAGCUGAAGUCAGUCGAAGAUACCAGCUGGCUGCAACUGUUUAUUAAAAACACAGCACUGUGCAAACACGAAAGUGGACGUAUACGGUGUGACGCCUGCCCGGUGCCGGAAGGUUAAUUGAUGGGGUCAGCGCAAGCGAAGCUCCUGAUCGAAGCCCCGGUAAACGGCGGCCGUAACUAUAACGGUCCUAAGGUAGCGAAAUUCCUUGUCGGGUAAGUUCCGACCUGCACGAAUGGCGUAAUGAUGGCCAGGCUGUCUCCACCCGAGACUCAGUGAAAUUGAACUCGCUGUGAAGAUGCAGUGUACCCGCGGCAAGACGGAAAGACCCCGUGAACCUUUACUAUAGCUUGACACUGAACAUUGAGCCUUGAUGUGUAGGAUAGGUGGGAGGCUUUGAAGUGUGGACGCCAGUCUGC